rnacentral:tRNA from 3 species
GCCUUAGUGGCUCAGCCCGGCAGAGCGACGGUUUCGUAAACCGUUGGUCGGGGGUUCAAAUCCCCCCUAAGGCUCCA